rnacentral:rRNA from 1 species
UAAUACAUGCAAGUCGAGCGAGCUUGCCUAGAUGAUUUUGGUGCUUGCACUAAAUGAAACUAGAUACAAGCGAGCGGCGGACGGGUGAGUAACACGUGGGUAACCUGCCCAAGAGACUGGGAUAACACCUGGAAACAGAUGCUAAUACCGGAUAACAACACUAGACGCAUGUCUAGAGUUUGAAAGAUGGUUCUGCUAUCACUCUUGGAUGGACCUGCGGUGCAUUAGCUAGUUGGUAAGGUAACGGCUUACCAAGGCGAUGAUGCAUAGCCGAGUUGAGAGACUGAUCGGCCACAUUGGGACUGAGACACGGCCCAAACUCCUACGGGAGGCAGCAGUAGGGAAUCUUCCACAAUGGACGAAAGUCUGAUGGAGCAACGCCGCGUGAGUGAAGAAGGGUUUCGGCUCGUAAAGCUCUGUUGGUAGUGAAGAAAGAUAGAGGUAGUAACUGGCCUUUAUUUGACGGUAAUUACUUAGAAAGUCACGGCUAACUACGUGCCAGCAGCCGCGGUAAUAC